GCAGCUAGUUUUUGUCCGACCGGAAACCCGCAACUGACUUGUAAUCAGUAGGUCCCGGGUUCGACUCCUGGUGUCGGCACCA
rnacentral:tRNA from 1 species